rnacentral:rRNA from 1 species
UACGUAGGGUGCGAGCGUUAAUCGGAAUUACUGGGCGUAAAGUGUGCGCAGGUGGCCGCGCAAGUCGAGUGUGAAAUCCCCAGGCUUAACCUGGGAACUGCAUCCGAUACUGGAUGGCUUGAAUCCGGGAGAGGGAUGCGGAAUUCCAGGUGUAGCGGUGAAAUGCGUAGAUAUCUGGAGGAACACCGGUGGCGAAGGCGGCAUCCUGGACCGGCAUUGACGCUGAGGAGCGAAAGCCAGGGGAGCAAACGGG